UACGUAGGGGGCAAGCGUUGUUCGGAAUUAUUGGGCGUAAAGGGCGCGUAGGCGGCGCGGUAUGUCUCUUGUGAAAUCUCCAGGCUCAACUUGGAGUCUGCAAGGGAAACUGCCGUGCUUGAGUACUGGAGAGGUGAGUGGAAUUCCCGGUGUAGUGGUGGAAUGCGUAGAUAUCGGGAGGAACACCAGUGGCGAAGGCGGCUUCCUGGACCGGUUCUGACACUGAGGAGCGAAAGCGUGGGGAGCGAUCCGG
rnacentral:rRNA from 1 species